rnacentral:antisense_RNA from 1 species
GUCGAUGGGUUUGUGGGCGCGGGGCGCGAGGUGGUAGCUGGGCUAGUCCUGUUCCCUGGCGUCUGGGCCUUUCUGCUCUCUGCAAGGAGCUGGGUCGCGACCUGUCACUGCCAGCCGUGCGCUCGCCCUCUGCGCCCCGUCUCGUGGUCACUGCCGCCCUCCCUCCCGCCACACCUCUGAUGAUCGCGAUGGAGCCGCGCCUCAGGUGGCAUUACUAUAAACCUAAGAGGAGAGGCGCCCGUUCGAAUGAGGGCAAAUUAUUUAGUAUUUUGUCUUUAAUGUUCCUGGCAGCUUAAAGUACCAACUGGGACACUUGUCACUAGUUUGAGAAGUGCAGCCAUAGUGACCUCUUUUGAAAGAUGAAUCAAUGAAUUAAGUCAUUUCUGAGAAACCAAGGAGGCCUGUUGGAGGAGGCUGGCCCUCCUGUGGCAGGUAACCCAAACUCCACUGCCCUUGGCAACAAGACAAGGCUAAUAUUUUCCCAAGAAGGGCCUUUUCAUGGAAUGAUCUUUCCAACCCGUUGACUACAACAAG